rnacentral:rRNA from 1 species
CCUACGGGCGGCAGCAGUGAGGAAUAUUGGUCAAUGGGCGCGAGCCUGAACCAGCCAAGUCGCGUGAAGGAUGACUGCCCUACGGGUUGUAAACUUCUUUUAUAAAGGAAUACAGUGAUGCACGUGUGCCUUUUUGUAUGUACUUUAUGAAUUCGGAUCGGCUAACUCCGUGCCAGCAGCCGCGGUAAUACGGAGGAUCCGAGCGUUAUCCGGAUUUAUUGGGUUUAAAGGGAGCGUAGAUGGGUUGUUAAGUCAGUUGUGAAAGUUUGCGGCUCAACCGUAAAAUGGCAAUUGAUACUGGCAGUCUUGAGUACAGAUGAGGAAGGUGGAAUUCGAGGUGUAGCGGUGAAAUGCUUAGAGAUAACGAAGAACUCCGAUUGCGAAGGCAGCUUACUAAACUGCCACUGACAUUGAUGCUCGAAAGUGUGGGUAUCAAACAGGAUUAGAUACCCUUGUAGUC